UACGUAGGGUGCGAGCGUUAAUCGGAAUUACUGGGCGUAAAGCGUGCGCAGGCGGUCUGUUAAGACCGAUGUGAAAUCCCCGGGCUUAACCUGGGAACUGCAUUGGUGACUGGCAGGCUUUGAGUGUGGCAGAGGGAGGUAGAAUUCCACGUGUAGCAGUGAAAUGCGUAGAGAUGUGGAGGAAUACCGAUGGCGAAGGCAGCCUCCUGGGCCAACACUGACGCUCAUGCACGAAAGCGUGGGAGCAAACAGG
rnacentral:rRNA from 1 species